AGGCCUGAAGAGAGAAGCAGGGUCUGAUACGCAGCCCUCAUGGCAGCUGUUUAUCAGCCUUUGCCUCUCUUUCUCUCUG
rfam:Myotis davidii contig85368, whole genome shotgun sequence.